rnacentral:lncRNA from 1 species
UUGAAAAAUUUCUGAUCUUUUCCUGAUCAAGGUUUUCUCUCCUUUAACUUCUCCUAGAUCCUUUUUACCUCCCCAACUUUCCUAUCUGCUCUUUCUCUAGAAUUAAACAGAUAAACAAACAAAACCCAAACAAGCCAUAAUAAAAAGAAAAAUACAAGAAAUACACACACAGACAUACCAGGUAUUUUUAAACUUUAUUUUUGCUAUUUAUUCUUACCUUUAUACAGUGUAAAAACAUUGUUCUUAGUAAAAAGUAAUGGAAAGCUAUGAAGGAAAAAAUCCACACUGUAGUGAUUGCAAGUGUGCAAUAACUUCACUUAAAGUGAGUUUAACCCUAGCUUCAAUCAUGAAAUUAAAAAUGAAAAUAAUAUAAAUCACAGGAUGCCAAAAUGAAUGCUAAAACUAAUUUUAAAAAUAUGAAAUUUUAUGAUAAAUAUGAGGUUAGAAUGAAAUAUCAAUGCUUAAGAAAACUGAUACAUCUUUUAAAGGAAAAAAUAGUAUUAAAAUAGUAUUUUAUUAGAGUAACCAAAUGAAUUGGAACUCUCUGAGUUAUAUAUGUAUAUGUAAAGUUAUGUGCAGUGAGUCCUUAUCAUAACACUAUUUAUAAUAAAUUAUAUUGAAUUAUUCAAAACAUUCAACUAUAAAGUGUUUAGGUAUAAUUGACUUUUUAUAUUAUCUAGCUAGCAUAAUUUAAUGGUACAUGCUUCUAUAAACUAUUAUAAAAACAUAUAAAAUGAACAUUAGUUUUCCAGUUGCAUUGGAUAUAAACAGAAAACUUUAACAUAUAUAUAUAAUAAACAAAUUUAUACUGAUCACUUUAUAAGUAAAGAAACAUAAUUUAAAUAGGACUCUGUAGUGGGUGGUGGAUCAAAAGGAAUGUAGACUAGAUAUAAUUUACCUUGAUUACUAUGCUUGAUUUUUAAACAAGAACAUAUUGCUUUCUUGUUUCCAGGUGGAGUUAUAAUAAGCAAAUAAACAAUGAAAACUUAUGUUUGUAUUCAUCAGAAAGAAACCACAAACCAAGCUAAUACAUAUAAAAUAUUUCAAAAUAUUAAGAAACAGUGAUCACUUGAAAUAAACUUCUUUCUACUCCUUUGUAUACAUAAUUGGCUAGUUUUCUAUUUAUGAAAUCAAUGACGACAUGAAGUUGUUCUUGGUGGGAUUGCUACACAUGAAAUAGUUUAGUAACUACUAAGCAAAGUUGAAGAUUCUAUUUACAUAUCACCUUUGCAUUAUUUUUACAGCUUUCUUGAACUAUCACUGACACUUGUCCCCGGUGCCCUUGUGAUAUGACACUUACGUGCCUCCUCCC